rnacentral:rRNA from 1 species
GGGUCAGUAGGUUGGUCGUGCCACCGGUACGUACUGGUCUCACUGACUCCUUCUUCCUGAAGAACCGUAAUGCCAUUAAUUUGGUGUUGCGGGGAAACAGGACUGUUACUUUGAAAAAAUUAGAGUGUUUAAAGCAAGCUAACGCUUGAAUACAUUAGCAUGGAAUAAUGAAAUAGGACGAUCGAUCCUAUUUUGUUGGUUUCUAGGAUUGACGUA